GGCAAAAUUAGAAUUUCUCAUGUGAAAAUACUAUAAAAGGUUGAGGGCAAAAUUGGAAUUUCAACUUGGAAAUAUUAGAAAAGAUUUGGGGCAAAGUUGGAAUUUCUCAUGAAGUCCUUUAAAUCAUCAACUCUUAGAACUUUCAAGACAAUUCAAGAAAGAAGAAAAAAAACAAAGGAAAAGAAAAUAAGGGGAAAAUCGAUCAAGGAAAAAAAAUAGGGAGAAAAUUGAAAUCUUGCUCCAAAAAUUAUUUUCUCCUAGUAUUCCUACUAAGUCAAGGGUGCUCUACAACAUGGUGUAGUUGUUUUGGAAGUUUGGAGACUUGUUUAGUUGAUUUGGAGAUUUGGGGAAGUGAAAGAAAAGAUUUUGGAGGAAACGGGAAUUGAACUUGGACAACCGUAAAAGGCCAAAAAGGUAUCGAAGUUCGAUUUGCUGAUCCAUCUGUUUAGGAUAUUUGCUGCGUCGUUGACAGUGCUCCUUUGUUUGGAGCUUGUAUUUUGGUACUGACUUUAUCUCUGUAUAUUUGGAUAUUUUGGUCAGGGGUACGACGGGGCCCUGUCCCGUCAUAUGACUAUGCUAUCAUCUAUAGAGGUCUGUAGACAGAUUUAUGUUGUGGGUUUUGUAUAUAUGAUU